CCCUAAUGUUUCUCUUGGCAUAGAGGAUUGUUUCUGCCAAAGACAUUGUUCAGCUUCCUUCUCCCUUUCUUCAAGUGUAGGAGAAUAUUGUUGCCUUUGACGUUCUACUUCUGCAAGUGAAGGACGAUAUUGUUGUCUUUGACAUUCUCGUAACUACUCACGUUUCCGCAUCUCCUCCAAACUUUUGAUAAAUGACAUAUUCAUAUCCGACAUCCGCUGACAAAAU
rnacentral:lncRNA from 1 species